UACAGAGGGGGCAAGCGUUGUUCGGAAUUACUGGGCGUAAAGGGCGCGUAGGCGGCCUGCUAAGUCGAACGUGAAAUCCCCAGGCUCAACUUGGGAACUGCAUCCGAUACUGGAUGGCUUGAAUUCGGGAGAGGGAUGCAGAAUUCCAGGUGUAGCGGUGAAAUGCGUAGAUAUCUGGAGGAAUACCGGUGGCGAAGGCGGCAUCCUGGACCGACAUUGACGCUGAGGAGCGAAAGCUAGGGGAGCAAACGGG
rnacentral:rRNA from 1 species